CUGCCCUUUGUACACACCGCCC
rnacentral:ncRNA from 2 species